GAUUAAGUUAUUAAGGGCGCACGGUGGAUGCCUUGGCACUAGAAGCCGAUGAAGGACGUUACUAACGACGAUAUGCUUUGGGGAGCUGUAAGUAAGCUUUGAUCCAGAGAUUUCCGAAUGGGGAAACCCAGCAUGAGUUAUGUCAUGUUAUCGAUAUGUGAAUACAUAGCAUAUCAGAAGGCACACCCGGAGAACUGAAACAUCUUAGUACCCGGAGGAAGAGAAAGAAAAUUCGAUUCCCUUAGUAGCGGCGAGCGAAACGGGAAGAGCCCAAACCAACAAGCUUGCUUGUUGGGGUUGUAGGACACUCUAUACGGAGUUACAAAGGACGACAUUAGACGAAUCAUCUGGAAAGAUGAAUCAAAGAAGGUAAUAAUCCUGUAGUCGAAAAUGUUGUCUCUCUUGAGUGGAUCCUGAGUACGACGGAGCACGUGAAAUUCCGUCGGAAUCUGGGAGGACCAUCUCCUAAGGCUAAAUACUCUCUAGUGACCGAUAGUGAACCAGUACCGUGAGGGAAAGGUGAAAAGCACCCCGGAAGGGGAGUGAAAUAGAACCUGAAACCGUGUGCUUACAAGUAGUCAGAGCCCGUUAAUGGGUGAUGGCGUGCCUUUUGUAGAAUGAACCGGCGAGUUACGAUUUGAUGCAAGGUUAAGCAGUAAAUGUGGAGCCGUAGCGAAAGCGAGUCUGAAUAGGGCGUUUAGUAUUUGGUCGUAGACCCGAAACCAGGUGAUCUACCCUUGGUCAGGUUGAAGUUCAGGUAACACUGAAUGGAGGACCGAACCGACUUACGUUGAAAAGUGAGCGGAUGAACUGAGGGUAGCGGAGAAAUUCCAAUCGAACCUGGAGAUAGCUGGUUCUCUCCGAAAUAGCUUUAGGGCUAGCCUCAAGUGAUGAUUAUUGGAGGUAGAGCACUGUUUGGACGAGGGGCCCCUCUCGGGUUACCGAAUUCAGACAAACUCCGAAUGCCAAUUAAUUUAACUUGGGAGUCAGAACAUGGGUGAUAAGGUCCGUGUUCGAAAGGGAAACAGCCCAGACCACCAGCUAAGGUCCCAAAAUAUAUGUUAAGUGGAAAAGGAUGUGGCGUUGCCCAGACAACUAGGAUGUUGGCUUAGAAGCAGCCAUCAUUUAAAGAGUGCGUAAUAGCUCACUAGUCGAGUGACACUGCGCCGAAAAUGUACCGGGGCUAAACAUAUUACCGAAGCUGUGGAUUGUCCUUUGGACAAUGGUAGGAGAGCGUUCUAAGGGCGUUGAAGCAUGAUCGUAAGGACAUGUGGAGCGCUUAGAAGUGAGAAUGCCGGUGUGAGUAGCGAAAGACGGGUGAGAAUCCCGUCCACCGAUUGACUAAGGUUUCCAGAGGAAGGCUCGUCCGCUCUGGGUUAGUCGGGUCCUAAGCUGAGGCCGACAGGCGUAGGCGAUGGAUAACAGGUUGAUAUUCCUGUACCACCUAUAAUCGUUUUAAUCGAUGGGGGGACGCAGUAGGAUAGGCGAAGCGUGCGAUUGGAUUGCACGUCUAAGCAGUAAGGCUGAGUAUUAGGCAAAUCCGGUACUCGUUAAGGCUGAGCUGUGAUGGGGAGAAGACAUUGUGUCUUCGAGUCGUUGAUUUCACACUGCCGAGAAAAGCCUCUAGAUAGAAAAUAGGUGCCCGUACCGCAAACCGACACAGGUAGUCAAGAUGAGAAUUCUAAGGUGAGCGAGCGAACUCUCGUUAAGGAACUCGGCAAAAUGACCCCGUAACUUCGGGAGAAGGGGUGCUCUUUAGGGUUAACGCCCAGAAGAGCCGCAGUGAAUAGGCCCAAGCGACUGUUUAUCAAAAACACAGGUCUCUGCUAAACCGUAAGGUGAUGUAUAGGGGCUGACGCCUGCCCGGUGCUGGAAGGUUAAGAGGAGUGGUUAGCUUCUGCGAAGCUACGAAUCGAAGCCCCAGUAAACGGCGGCCGUAACUAUAACGGUCCUAAGGUAGCGAAAUUCCUUGUCGGGUAAGUUCCGACCCGCACGAAAGGCGUAACGAUUUGGGCACUGUCUCAACGAGAGACUCGGUGAAAUCAUAGUACCUGUGAAGAUGCAGGUUACCCGCGACAGGACGGAAAGACCCCGUGGAGCUUUACUGUAGCCUGAUAUUGAAAUUCGGCACAGCUUGUACAGGAUAGGUAGGAGCCUUUGAAACGUGAGCGCUAGCUUACGUGGAGGCGCUGGUGGGAUACUACCCUAGCUGUGUUGGCUUUCUAACCCGCACCACUUAUCGUGGUGGGAGACAGUGUCAGGCGGGCAGUUUGACUGGGGCGGUCGCCUCCUAAAAGGUAACGGAGGCGCUCAAAGGUUCCCUCAGAAUGGUUGGAAAUCAUUCAUAGAGUGUAAAGGCAUAAGGGAGCUUGACUGCGAGACCUACAAGUCGAGCAGGGUCGAAAGACGGACUUAGUGAUCCGGUGGUUCCGCAUGGAAGGGCCAUCGCUCAACGGAUAAAAGCUACCCCGGGGAUAACAGGCUUAUCUCCCCCAAGAGUUCACAUCGACGGGGAGGUUUGGCACCUCGAUGUCGGCUCAUCGCAUCCUGGGGCUGUAGUCGGUCCCAAGGGUUGGGCUGUUCGCCCAUUAAAGCGGUACGCGAGCUGGGUUCAGAACGUCGUGAGACAGUUCGGUCCCUAUCCGUCGUGGGCGUAGGAAAUUUGAGAGGAGCUGUCCUUAGUACGAGAGGACCGGGAUGGACAUACCUCUGGUGUACCAGUUGUCGUGCCAACGGCAUAGCUGGGUAGCUAUGUGUGGACGGGAUAAGUGCUGAAAGCAUCUAAGCAUGAAGCCCCCCUCAAGAUGAGAUU
rnacentral:rRNA from 1 species